GCGCGGCGGCCAAGGGGCUACCGCCUCCUGAGUCCGCGGUAGGAGGCGGUGUAGAGGAGGGAGUUCCUGUACGAACUGUUCCAGUUACUUCUCUAACUUGUCUUAUAUGUUUCCUGGUCCCUUUGUCUCAGUCUUUAUCACUUCGUAAGACUUUGACUUUUCCUGAUAGAGCACUUCCUCAGACUCGAUUACUUUCCUCAUAGCCAACGACUCAAACUUGAACUACCCGAAUACGUUCACCUUCGACGACCUUGUCUAAGUGAAUUUCGCUACCUCCUGUUAAACCUUAAGGUCUUUCGAUGAGACUUACGUUAAUCCUUUGAUAAGAUACUAUUUUACCUUUCCAAGUAGCGACUUAGAUUUCCGAAGGUUCAAUUAUACGAACCUCCAAGUUAACUCCUAAAUGGAGAGGAUGAUUUCCUUUCUCUAAGUGAUCUCUUACUCUCACUCUUGAACUCUUACUUCUAGUUGCGGUAUGUUUCAAGUAGUUUCCUUAUGUAACGACUCUAAGAACUCCUCCAUUUACACCUUUUAAGUCAAGACCUCAGACUACAUGUGAUAUCCUAAAGCCUUAUGUACCUUUAAGAGUUCCUAUAUUUGUUGGACUUCUAAGAUAAAUCAAGCUCGUUAAGAAUUCUUCCCAGAAGUAACAACGUCCGAGUACUGGGUAGUUUCAACGGUGUACAAAGAACACAGAAGUCAUACGGUAAAACCAAACCGACAGUUCUUAGAAGUCGUUCGAGUUACCUUUAUGGAACAUGUACAAAGAAGACAGCUCUUCCAAUGUGGUCUAGAUCGUGCUUAAAUGACGUGAUGGUUUGUACAUAACCAGUACCGAACAUAUAUGUCAAGUCAAUUGGAGACAUGACAUCUAAAGUUCGACUCCCUAUCAUCCUUUUCCGUUUCACGGAUCCUUACGUCUAACCUUUUUGUCGUUUCAGAAAACACCCGUUAACAACAAAAAUUUAGACUAGCUCCUCUACACUUUUGCAGUCUAUAACGCUCUUUAACAAUCAUUACCUUAUCAACCAAGUAGAAUUCCCUUUAACAUGCGGUGAUGUACCGAGGAGCUAGAGACUACAUGGUCACUUCUUACCUUGUUAUUAGAAUGUCGAGUGAUCUUGUUAUUAGAAUGUCGGGCAGAAGUGUUUAAAA
rnacentral:rRNA from 1 species